CGCGCGUCAGCCGUCGUCUGAGGUCCUCCAGCAGCGGGCUGGCGGCGAGGGCCUCCUCCUGGAUCCCCUGGGAAAUUCUCUCUCUGCAGCGGCGGAAGUCCCCGGGGCCCAUCGCGGAGACGCCUGGUCACUGCUCUACCGCUGCUGCUGAAAGAUGAGUUUCUAAGUUUGAUGUUUAGGGCGGGGUCAGGGCGGGGGCGGAGGUAAUUCAAGGACCCUUGCCAAGUGGGAUGCUGCAACUGCCCCGCCAUUCAGAGACGCUCCUUUGCUCCCAGUCCCAUCUUAGUCCUCCAUUAGCGACAGAGGAAGGAGGCGGUUCCCAUAACUCCAGGAGAAGUUUAAGCUGAGUCGCUUUUUUCUGCUGCUUGCAUUGAAAGGAAGUCUUUCUAAGGAGAAGGCUUGGUAACUGAGCAGUCAGCCUAUGUAAGUGGAAGUUGAGGUACAGGUGGAAGGUUUAUGACCAAAGGUUAGAAUAUUUCAACCCAAAGCCUUCCUGGUUGCCUUGAUCGUCUAAUACGUCAUUCCUUAAAAACAAUUUUUUUUCUUCCUACUCUGCCAGGCACUUUGCCAAGUUUGGGGAAUGCAAAGGCUUAAUUAGACCCCUCACCUUUCCCCAGGUAUUGCCCGCAGUCAAGGGGGAGAGCCUUGGCCCUGCUUGCUAGUUAGAAUGUACCUUCUACAGGUUCAGUAAGGCAUACCUGGAAGUCUGAGUCUCCAUGCUCCUUUCUAUUUUGACUCCUGUCUGCCAUGUCCACGUUUAUGAAGGGGUUAAAAUGAAAAAUCAAAAUUCCCCUUAGCCCAAAGUGUGUGUGUUUAAUUCCCAACUAAUAAGGUUUGGCUCUGUGUCAUCACCAAAUUCCAGUGGAAUUGUAAUCCCCAGUGUUGGAGAUGAAGCCUGGUGGGAGGUGAUUGGAUCAUGGAGGUAGAGUUCUCAUGAAUGGGUUUAGCCCCAUUCCCGCCUGGUACUUUAUAGUGAAUGAGUUCUUACCAGAUCUGGUUGUUUAAAGUGUAUGGCACCUCCUCUCUCUCUCUCACUCCUGCUCUGCCAUGUAAGACACUUGCUCUCGCUUUGCCUUCCACUAUGAGUAAAAGCUCCCUGAGGCCUCCCCAGAAGCAGAUGCUGCCAUGCUUUCUGUAUAGCAUACAGAACCAUGAGCCAAUUAAACCUCUUUUCUUUCCAAAUUACCCAGUCUCCGGUAUUUCUUUAUAGCAGUGAGAGGACAGACUAAUACACCAACUCCAGGUAAUCAUGUGCCAAUAUUACCUGUAUAUCCUUUAUCAAAGAACAUAUUCUGCCUCUUUUUGAUCUAAUAGGGAAUUUCUAAAAAGGAGUGAACAAUCAAAACUUUUGUAUGAUCAAAGAAUGCAAUUACAAAAAAAAACAAAACAUAGUUUAGACACAACUCUCAUCUUAUUCAUCAUUCAUUCAUUCAUUCAUUCAAAAGUUACAAGUCACUUGCAAUGUUCCAGGGUCCAUGGUAGGCAUUGAAGGCAAUAACAACUGAUUUUUAUUCAUGCUUAGUAUGUGCCAGGCAAUUUUUAUGUAUUAAUCUUCACAGCAACCUUGUGAGGUAAGUACUAUUAGUUUCUGCAUUUUACAAUUGAGGAAACUAAGGCAAGAGAUUAAGACGUACACCAAAGAUCUCAAAGCUGGUAAGGGAUCCACUGGAAAUUUGCACCUAGGAAGUCUGGCUUGUGCUCCAAACCACUGGGAUACACCCUGGAUACGCUUUAUCUCCCAAAGAGGAAGAGAGUUGCUCAGUUUAUAUGUUGCAUGAGUGAGUGAGUAAGAGUGAAUAAGUGUUUAAAUUCACUAUGUUCAUAAAAUUCGGCUCUAUUGAAAUGGCUUAAGGCUCAACUGGAUAAGGAACAAUACAGGUUACUCAGCCUGUGCAGAUAAUCUACUAAAUUGAACAGCUUGCAAUAGUUUACAACCCAAGCACAGUAAAAUUCCUACCAUUGUAUAUUGCUUCAUAAAGAUUCCCUAGAAACAUCUGAAGAUGUGUUGUCUUGGUAGAAAUUAUAAAAAUCCAUGUGGUCUGCCAUGCAGCAAUGGAGUGUGAAUUUAGGGUUUUUUGUUUGUUGGUUGGUGAUAGGUUGAUGGGGCUUGAAAACCACCACUAGUCAAUGUACAAUAUAAACGUUUAAAAUGAAUUUUUUGCUAUGAUUUUUCACUUCCAUUUCCAGAUCAUUUACUUCAACAAGAAUUUCAGUUAAGUUCAAUUUAACUCAACAGUGAAUGGCGCAUGUUCAGUGUUAAGAAUUGUGCCAUAUGAGGGAGAUACAAAGAUGAAUAAGGCAUAGUUUUUGUCCCCCAGAAGCUUAAAACCUGAGGAAGCAAAUUUAUUGAUUCAUUCAUUUAACAAUAUUUAUUUAAUGUCUUAUUAUGUACCAAGCAUUACACAAGGUGCUCAAGCUACAAUGGCAAACCAAGGAGACAAAAUGUUUUUUUAAAAUAAACUGGUUUACCACAAAUUAAUAAUUUUCCUCUAUAGGUUAAUUUUUCAGUUGUGGUACACCUUGAAUUUUACAAUUUUUUUUCUUUCUCUUACACAGGCAAAGCAAAUUGAAGAAUUGGAGCACUGAAUAUAACAUCCACAGACAUUUGAAUUAGAAAAUGUAUUAAUUAUUUAUUGCUGCAUAACAAAUUACUCCAAAAUUCAAUGGUUUAAAAAAAUAAACAUUUAUUUUCUCUGACAGCUUCUGUGGGAAAGAAUUUGGGAACAGCUUAGGUUAUGGUCCUUAGCUUUUAUGCUGUUGUAACCAAAUGUCAGUUCCUCUCCAUGUGGACUCUUUCCUACUAUUGUGUAAGCGUCUUCAUGAUAUAGUGGGUAGACUUCCCUCAAAACAAGAAGAGAGAAAUACAGAGAGCCAGAGAGAAGCUCUUUACAUGUGCUCUGAACUACAUUUUUAUGACCUGGCUUUGGAAGUCAGUUAUUACCAUUCUGCUGAUCAGUAUCAAGUCUCUAAGUUGGAGCUAUAUUCAAGGGGAGGAACCUCAGCUCCACCUUUUGAAGUAGGGAGUAUCAAAAAUUUCCAAAUAUAUUUUUAAACUACCAUGGGAGAAACAUAUGUACAUUACACGUAAGUAAACAAUGAUACAAAUGACUUCUGACUUCCUGCAGAAAAAAAAAGGAGUCCAGAAAACAUUGAGAUAUUUUUAAACGCAGAGAGAACUAAAUUAACACAGAAUUCUAAGUUCAGCAAAAAUAUCCUCCCAAAAACCAAUCUCAAAAAGCAUGUUUUUAAAAAAGGAAAAUUAGGAAAAUUUGUCACAAGCAGGCUUACACUAUAAGAAGUACUAAAGGAAAUUCCUCAGCUGAAGUAAAAUAAUAGUACAGGGAAACACAGAUCUUCAGGAAGAAAUGAGUAACAUAAGAAAUGGUAUGAUCCAGAAACCUGGCAGCUAUGUGCUGCAAGACUGCCUUUCUGUU
rnacentral:lncRNA from 10 species